UCUCUGACCCUUAUCAGCUCCUAUAUCCCGGUGGCUCGCCGCCGCCCGGCUGCCUCACGUUCCGGCCGGCGAGGUUAGCCCAACGCGAUGCCAGUGCGUUCCGGAACCGGGACGCCUCGGGGGCGGGCUCGGCCAGGUCUGUGCCCUCCUCCCGCUGUCCAUCUACACGCUGCAGCAGGAGCAGCAGCAGGGCGCCGCAGGAGAACUACCCGCGCCUCUGGCGAAGCUCCGGGCGGCUAUGAGGAAGCGUUGCGGCCAGAUCCUUACUGCAGAAGGACAUUUCCGCCGAGGUCGACGACGGCGCUGGCCCUCUGAGGCUGCGAAUGGAGAGCGAGAAUCCCGAGAAGGCGAAUGUAGUGGUGGCUGAGCAGGUGGAUGAGUAUGUAGAUAUGGAGGAUGAGACCCCUGACUUACCAAUCAGAGGAGGCCGAGAAUGGUGCUGAGGAUAUGAGUGUCUCUGGUGUUCUUCUUCAUGCUCAGUGAUACUGUCGAAGCGGCUGUUUCUUCUUAUCCUUUUUGAGAAACACCGUUUAUUCUUCAUCCAGUGGUUCAGGGUCAGGGAGCUCAGGGGAGAGCACCUCAGAAGCUGGCAAUGCUCAUUCUCUGGUGUAGAGGAGGUUGUUCUAAUAGUAGGAUUUGACUAGGUGGAGGAUGUAAGUACUUAUUUCUGGGAUGUAAGUACUAGGUGGAGGAUGUAAGUACUUAUUUGACUAGGUAGAGGAGGUCUUUUCAUCUGGCCUUCUAUCUGAAGGUGGCUUUUGUAUUGAUGUGUUUUCUCUAGCACAUCUGUUAUGUACUUAAUGCUUAUGGGCGACGUACCUAUGGCAUCAGAGUAAGAAAAUGUUGAAAUCAUGGUUAUCAUC